rnacentral:lncRNA from 1 species
UAAUUUUAAACCCCACCAUUUUACUCGCAUCUCUUACUUUUAAUAUUUAACUAGUGUAGUGACCCGCUCGUUACGGCGGAUAAAUACUCUGUUAAAAUGAAAAUUUGUAAAAAAUAAAAUAUCAAUUUAGUACAAACAAUAGUAAAUAUAGUCUACAUUAUAAACAAAUAAUUUUAAAAAAUAAAACUAUAAUGAAAAAAAAUUUAAUCAUUUCAACAAAACUAUUUAACUUUAUUCAAAAGAAGUCGCAUGUCAUGCAAAUAGAUGAUUAAAAUUAUUUCUAUAAGACAAUAAUUAAAUGAGAAAAAAAAGAGUAGUCCCUACUCUUUUCCAAAUUAAGGAGGUGGGUAUAUAUAGGAUUUAGUCAUGAAGAUUAAUGUAUAGGUAUAGAUAUUAUGCGUGUCGUCUGAAGAAGUUAACUACACAAAUUCUCGGAUCUAGUGCUAAUUAAUUUAAAAAUAUUUAUAUCCUAUUUAAAUGAAAUAAAUUUUUUUAAAAAUAUAAUAUAACUGUUUAUUAACUAACAUCUAACUAGUCAUAUAUAAAAGGCAUCAUAAUAAAAAGGCACUUGUCACAUCACCGGUUCCCAUUUGAGACAAAACUAUACUUAAUCCACUUUUCAUUGUUCCUCUUGAGAAUCUAAUUAAGAAAUGCUAAGGUGAUUUGUUGGUAAAUUUAUAUUAUGAAGGUGAAAGCGUACAGGAUUUAUCUGAACUAUGAAUCAUUUUGAGUCGGUUGUCCAAUCUUUUCAAAUUUUGAUUUUUUUAUCCAGCAUUUUCAAUUUGUUUGAUUUGAAUUAGUCAAUGAUAUUUUGAUUUAAAAUUUAGGUUUAUUGAUUACUAUAGUAAAUUUACGGUUGUGAGAAUUGUAUGAAAUGCAUUAACUAAAUCUAUAAAGAUAAAUAAUAAAAAAUUUUAAAGUCAAGAUGUCAUUAAUUAACUGGUUCAAAUCAAAUGACUUGAAAGUUUGGAUAACAAAAUCAAAUUUUUAAA